rnacentral:lncRNA from 1 species
AACCUGACUACCCCUUAGGUGAGGGAGUCCAGAAUGCUGGCUUGAAAUGGGAGAGAGAAAGAACUGCCACAUAAUUUGCAAGAUCUUUUUUGAAAAAGAAAAGGUGUUAAGAAUUCCAGGACAGCAUUAGGAAUGUAUUAAACCAGUAAGGAACAGCGGAGCUUCCCCCUAAGACCCUGGUGUGUUUCUGCAUCAGGAAACCUUCUCUCCUGCAAUGUGUCGUUUAAGAUUGAACAACAUGGUGCCUUUGCCAGAAGUUAACAGGAAACCCAAAAGGAGAUGAGCCAGACUGGAGAUGGAGUGGACUUGCCAUACAAAGCAAGGGAGUCCCAGCAGGGCAGGGAUC